rnacentral:rRNA from 1 species
UUGUAAGAGGAGAAGUCAUAGCGGAAGCGAUGGUGGAUUUUACACAAGUGAGAAUGCCGGAAUGAGUAGCGAGAAUUAUGUGAGAAUCAUAAUGGCCGAAAAUCUAAGGUUUUAGGAGGAAGGUUCGUCGCUCCUAGUAAGCCGGGAGCUAAGGUGAGGCGGAGACGCGUAGCCGAUGCACAUACGGUAGAAAAUCCGUAGCCUCCAAAAUAUUUAAACACAGGGACACUUUGAAGAUGUUUAGCCGGGCGAUGGUUGCCCCGGUCGAAAGGGACUGAAAAUGUUCGGGAAGUAAACAUGGACGAAGGCGAGAAAAGCUGUGUGAAUAUAUGAGGAGCCCGUACCGCAAACCGACACAGGUAGAUAGGAAGAGAAUUCCAAGGCCAACGGGAGAAGGGUUGUUAAGGAACUCGGCAAGUUGACCCCGUAACUUCGGGAGAAGGGGUGCUCAUGAAAGUGAGCCGCAGAGAAUAGGCCCAAGCGACUGUUUAGCAAAAACACAGCUCUAUGCUAAAUCGAAAGAUGACGUAUAUGGGGUGACACCUGCCCGGUGCUGGAGGGUUAAGAGGAGGGGUGAGAGCUCUGAAUUGAAGCCCCAGUAAACGGCGGCCGUAACGAUAACGGUCCUAAGGUAGCGAAAUUCCUUGUCAGGUAAGUUCUGACCCGCACGAAUGGUGUAACGAUUUGGGCACUGUCUCAACAACCCGCCCGGCGAAAUUGUAGUACCGGUGAAGAUGCCGGUUACCCGCGACUAGACGGAAAGACCCCAUGGAGCUUCACUGUAGCUUAAUAUUGGAUUUCGGUAUUUGAUGUACAGGAUAGGUGGGAGACUAGGAAGCAAAGGCGUCAGCUUUUGUGGAGUCAAACUUGGGAUACCACUCUUUAAGUGCUGGAAUUCUAACCUGCGACCAUGAAACUGGUCGGGGGACAAUGUUAGGUGGGCAGUUUGACUGGGGCGGUCGCCUCCAAAAAGGUAACGGAGGCGCUCAAAGGUUAGCUCAGUAUGGAUGGAAACCAUGCGAAGAGUGUAAACGCGUAAGCUAGCCUAACUGCGAGACUGACGGGUCGAGCAGUAACGAAAGUUGGAGUUAGUGAUCCGGCGGUAUGUGAAUGGAAAUGCCGUCGCUCAACGGAUAAAAGCUACCCUGGGGAUAACAGGCUGAUCUCCCCCAAGAGUCCACAUCGACGGGGAGGUUUGGCACCUCGAUGUCGGCUCAUCGCAUCCUGGGGCUGAAUUUGGUCCCAAGGGUUUGGCUGUUCGCCAAUUAAAGCGGUACGCGAGCUGGGUUCAGAACGUCGUGAGACAGUUCGGUCCCUAUCUGUCGUGGGCGAAGGAUAUUUGAGAGGAGCUGUCCCUAGUACGAGAGGACCGGGAUGGACGCACCUCUGGUGCACCAGUUGUCACGCCAGUGGCACAGCUGGGCAGCUAAGUGCGGAACGGAUAAACGCUGAAGGCAUCUAAGCGUGAAGCCGGCCUUAAGAUAAGAUAUCCCAUCGUAAGAGUAAGACCCCUUAAAGACUAUGAGGUUGAUAGGCUCAAAGUGUAAGCAUGGUGACGUGUUAAGCUAGCGAGUACUAAUUGGUCGAGGGCUUUUCC